rnacentral:rRNA from 1 species
CUUGCCGCCGGCGACCGGCGCACGGGUGAGUAACACGUAUGCAACCUGGCCGUGACAGAUGGAUAACCGGGAGAAAUCCCGCCUAAUACAACAUAAUGCCGGGAGGGGACAUCCCCUGCCGGUCAAAGGGGGCGACCCCGGUCACGGAUGGGCAUGCGGCGCAUUAGGUAGUUGGUGGGGCAACGGCCCACCAAGCCGACGAUGCGUAGGGGUUCUGAGAGGAAGGUCCCCCACAUUGGAACUGAGACACGGUCCAAACUCCUACGGAAGGCAGCAG